rnacentral:rRNA from 1 species
GAUGAACGCUGGCGGCGUGCUUAACACAUGCAAGUCGAGCGGACAGACGCUGCUCUUGUGGGGUGCUCGAGUGGCGAACGGGUGAGUGUCACGUGAGUAACACGCACCUGACUGUGGGAUAAAUUCAGGAAAAAGGGGAUAAUACAGGAGAGGAGCUCCUGCAGCAUGGUGGGGGUUGGAAAGAUACGGCGGUUGGGGAUGGACUCGAGGCUUAUCAGCUUGUUGGUGGGGUAGUGGCUUACCAAGGCUAUGACGGGUAGCCGGCCUGAGAGGGUGACCGGCCACCAGAGUCCUGCGAUACGCCCCAGUCUCCAAUGUUACGCAGCAGUCGGGAAUCUUGCGCAGUGGGCGGACGCCUGAUGCGGCAACGCCCCGUUCGUAAUGACGUCCUUCGGGUUGUGAACCACUUUCGCCUUUGACGAACCCUUAUUGACGGUAACGGGUCAGGAAGCACCGGCUAACUACGUG